UACGUAGGGGGCAAGCGUUGUCCGGAUUUAUUGGGCGUAAAGCGCUCGCAGGUGGUUCGUUGCGUCGUGCGUGAAAGACCCCGGCUCAACUGGGGAGCGUCGUGCGAUACGGGCGGACUGGAGGCCAGUAGGGGGAUGCGGAAUUCCGGGUGUAGUGGUGGAAUGCGUAGAGAUCCGGAGGAACACCAGCGGCGAAGGCGGCAUCCUGGACUGGUCCUGACACUCAUGAGCGAAAGCGUGGGGAGCGAUCCGG
rnacentral:rRNA from 1 species